CAGAGAGCUUGCUCUCGGGUGACGAGCGGCGGACGGGUGAGUAAUGUCUGGGAAACUGCCUGAUGGAGGGGGAUAACUACUGGAAACGGUAGCUAAUACCGCAUAAUGUCGCAAGACCAAAGUGGGGGACCUUCGGGCCUCAUGCCAUCAGAUGUGCCCAGAUGGGAUUAGCUAGUAGUGGGGUAACGGCUCACCUAGGCGACGAUCCCUAGCUGGUCUGAGAGGAUGACCAGCCACACUGGAACUGAGACACGGUCCAGACUCCUACGGGAGGCAGCAGUGGGGAAUAUUGCACAAUGGGCGCAAGCCUGAUGCAGCCAUGCCGCGUGUGUGAAGAAGGCCUUCGGGUUGUAAAGCACUUUCAGCGGGGAGGAAGGCGUUUAGGUUAAUUACCUUGGCGAUUGACGUUACCGCAAGAAGAAGCCACGGCUAACUCCGUGCCCAGCAGCCGCGGUAAUACGGAGGGGUGCAAGCGUUAUUCGAAAUUACUGGGCGUAAAGCGCACGCAGGCGGUCUGUCAAGUCGGAUGUGAAAUCCCCGGGCUCAACCUGGGAACUGCAUUCGAAACUGGCAAGGCUUAAGUCUUGUUAGGGGGGUAAAUUCAGGUGUACGGUUAAAAUGCGUAAAGAUUNUGGANGAAUACCGGUGCGAAGGNCGGCCCCCUGGGAACAAAAACUGACGCUNCAGGUGCGAAAGCGUGGGANCAAACAGGAUAAUACCUNGUNAUCCACCCGUAAAAUUAUAUUUGGGUUUUCCUUGGUUUUCCGAUCUUUUUACCCCUGGGAUAUGGCGGUAUACAAUAUUUAUG
rnacentral:rRNA from 1 species